GAUGAACGCUGGCGGCAUGCCUAAUACAUGCAAGUCGAACGAGAGGAAGGAAAGCUUGCUUUUCUGAAUCUAGGGGCGAACGGGUGAGUAACACGUAGGCAACCUGCCCAUGUGCCCGGGAUAACUUCUGGAAACGGAUGCUAAAACCGGAUAGGUAGCAGACAAGCAUUUGACUGCUAUUAAAGUGGCUAAGGCCAUGAACCUGGAUGGACCGUCGGUUCAUUAGCGAGUUGGUGAGGUAACGGCCCACCAAGACAACGAUGAAUAGCCGGCCGAAGGGGGGGGCCGGCACAAUUGGACUGAGACACGGCCCAAACUCCUACGGGAGGCAGCAGUAGGGAAUUUUCGUCAAUGGGGGGAACCCUGAACGAGCAAUGCCGCGUGAGUGAGGAAGGUCUUCGGAUCGUAAAGCUCUGUUGUAAGAGAAAAACGGCAUUCAUAGGGAAUGAUGAGUGAGUGAUGGUAUCUUACCAGAAAGUCACGGCCAACUACGUGCCAGCCGCCGCGGUAA
rnacentral:rRNA from 1 species